GUCCAUCUGUGCAGGUGCACCGCAGGGGCUCCGGCCAGACUGUGCGCGUGGUCUCUGCAGGCUGGGGGUCCCCGCAGGGCGGCGACUGUCGCCGGAGCGGCGGUGUCUCUUCCCACCUGCCCGAGGUCAGAGACAGGUAGAAAGAAGAGCUCGAGGGAAAAUGGGAGACAGAGAUUAGGGGGAUGAGGUCUGGAGCUGAACCAGCUUGG
rnacentral:lncRNA from 1 species